rnacentral:rRNA from 1 species
AACGAACGCUGGCGGCAGGCUUAACACAUGCAAGUCGAACGGGCAUAGCAAUAUGUCAGUGGCAGACGGGUGAGUAACACGUGGGAACCUUCCUAGAGGUACGGAACAACGCAGGGAAACUUGUGCUAAUACCGUAUACGCUGGAGACAGGAAAGAUUUAUCGCCUUUAGACGGGCCCGCGUAGGAUUAGGUAGUUGGUGAGGUAAUGGCACACCAAGCCUUCGAUCCUUAACUGAUCUGAGAGGAUGAGCAGCCACACUGGAACGGAGACACGGUCCAGACUCCUACGGGAUGCAGCGGUGGAGAAUCUUGGACAAUGGGCGCAAGCCUGAUCCCGCCAUGCCGCGUGAGUGAAGAAGGCCUUCGGGUUGUAAAGCUCUUUUACCAGGGACGAUAAUGACGGUACCUGGAGAAUAAGCCCCGGCUAACUUCGUGCCAGCCGCCGCGGUAA